ensembl:misc_RNA Metazoa_SRP Metazoan signal recognition particle RNA
GCCGGGCGCGGUGGCGCGUGCCUGUGGUCCCAGCUACUCGGAUGGCUGAGGUGGGAGGAUCAUUUGAGCCAGGAGUUCUGGACUGUAGUGCACUACGCCGAUUGGGUGUCCGCACUAAGUUUGGCAUCAAUAUGGUGACCUCCCGGAAGCAGGGGACCACCAGGUGGCCUAAGGAGGGUGAACCAGCCCAGAUCGGAAACAGAGCAGGUCAAAACUCCCAUGCUGAUCAGUAGUGGGAUCACGCCUGUGAAUAGCCACUGCACUCCAGCCUGGGCAACAUAGUGAGACCCUGUCUCAA